AGUGAACGCUGGCGGUAGGCCUAACACAUGCAAGUCGAACGGCAGCACAGUAAGAGCUUGCUCUUACGGGUGGCGAGUGGCGGACGGGUGAGGAAUACAUCGGAAUCUACUUUUUCGUGGGGGGUAACGUAGGGAAACUUACGCUAAUACCGCAUACGACCUACGGGUGAAAGCAGGGGAUCUUCGGACCUUGCGCGAUUGAAUGAGCCGAUGUCGGAUUAGCUAGUUGGCGGGGUAAAGGCCCACCAAGGCGACGAUCCGUAGCUGGUCUGAGAGGAUGAUCAGCCACACGGGAACUGAAACACGGUCCGGACUCCUACGGGAGGCAGCAGUGGGGAAUAUUCGACAAUGGGCGCAGGCCUGAGGCAGCCAUACGGCGGGGGUGAAGAAGGCCUUCGGGUUGUAAAGCCCUUUUGUUGGGAAAGAAAAGCAGCAGAUUAAUAACCCGCUGUUCUGACGGUACCCAAAAGAUAAGCACCGGCUAACUUCGU
rnacentral:rRNA from 1 species